UGGUCUCUGUUACAGGUGUAAAAUAAUGCUGACACCAUUAAAACCAAAAUCAUAGCCUAAAGUAUUCUUGAAAAAAUAAAAAAAAUGUAAAUAUAAAAUAAUUAUUAAAAGGAUUGUCUGCCUGUGAAGAGAAAAAGUAAGCAUAAAGUUUAUUUAAUAAAAGGUUUGAAUACAAACUCAUGUUCAACAUACACAAUUCAAAAAUACAUUAUUCUAACAACUUUGAAAAAUAUUGAUAUAAAUUAAAUAAAUUCAAUACAAUGGCCAACUUUUUUCAAUAUGAUCAAUGCAAUGAUGAUAUUAAAGUGCAAGAGAAUAAAAAAAGGUCUUCGGCUUUAUCGAAGUUUGAAAUGAACGAAUGGACUUUCAGCGUAUGCCUUUUUUUAAUAUCAUCAGCAAUAGUGCUCGGAAAAAUCUACCUCCUCUAUGCCUCUAAUAAUCAAAAAUAAUUACAUAAUAUCGAAAGAAUUAUAUUUUUCUAAUUUUCAAGAUGUCUUCUUACUGCCAAAUGAUGUUAUAUCUCAUACUAGAGAUGUUUUCCAAAAAAAUAAAUGGUUUUUUAAAGCCCUCUGCAGUGGACUUGGAGUCACAGCAUUCACUUGGUUCAUUAUUUAUAAAGAUAGUUAUAUUCCUGGAAUUAAUCCCCCAUCGCCAUUUAGCCCUUCUAAAAAAAAAAUCAGACAUUGUGAUGAAUCAAAAGUUCCCUUAAAUUACUUAAUGGGUAUAGUAAAUGGAGUUCUUAUAUUUAUAUACAUGUGUCUUUGAUAUGACAGCACGAAAACAAAUAUUCAUCAUGACUUAAAUUAUUUACUUAUUAUUGUUAUGCUUAUUAUUUUAUUUAAUAUUCAAUAUUAAUUAUAUAUAA
rnacentral:misc_RNA from 1 species